rnacentral:rRNA from 1 species
UACGAAGGGGGCGAGCGUUGUUCGGAAUUACUGGGCGUAAAGGGCGCGCAGGCGGCCCUUGAAGUCAGGCGUGAAAUCCCCGGGCUCAACCUGGGAAUGGCAGUGGAUACUGGGAGGCUAGAGUGUGUCAGAGGAUGGUGGAAUUCCCGGUGUAGCGGUGAAAUGCGUAGAGAUCGGGAGGAACAUCAGUGGCGAAGGCGGCCAUCUGGGACAACACUGACGCUGAGGCACGAAAGCGUGGGGAGCAAACAGG